AUACGGAGGAUCCGAGCGUUAUCCGGAUUUAUUGGGUUUAAAGGGUGCGCAGGCGGCCAUUUAAGUCAGCGGUUAAAUCGUGGGGCUCAACCCCAUUCUGCCGUUGAUACUGGGUGGCUUGAUUGCGGUCGAGGUUGGCGGAAUUCGUUGUGUAGCGGUGAAAUGCAUAGAUAUGACGAAGAACACCGAUUGCGUAGGCAGCUGACCAGACCGCAAAUGACGCUCAUGCACGAAAGUGCGGGGAUCGAACAGGAUUAGAUACCCUGGUAGUCCGCACAGUAAACGAUGAAUACUUGUUUUCGGCGAUAUAAUGUCGGAGGCAAAGCGAAAGCGAUAAGUAUUUCACCUGGGGAGUACGCCGGCAACGGUGAAACUCAAAUGAAUUGGCGGG
rnacentral:rRNA from 1 species